ACGAACGCUGGCGGCGUGCUUAACACAUGCAAGUCGAACGGAAAGGCCCCUUUGGGGGUCCUCGAGUGGCGAACGGGUGAGUAACACGUGAGUAACCUGCCCUUGACUUCGGGAUAACUUCAGGAAACUGGGGCUAAUACCGGAUAGGAAUCCUUGCUGCAUGGUGGGGGUUGGAAAGCUUCGGCGGUUUUGGAUGGACUCGCGGCUUAUCAGCUUGUUGGUGGGGUAGUGGCUUACCAAGGCUUUGACGGGUAGCCGGCCUGGGAGGGCGACCGGCCACAUUGGGACUGAGAUACGGCCCAGACUCCUACGGGAGGCAGCAGUGGGGAAUAUUGCACAAUGGGCGGAAGCCUGAUGCAGCAACGCCGCGUGCGGGAUGACGGCCUUCGGGUUGUAAACCGCUUUCAGCAGGGGCGAAGCUUGUGGUGACGGUACCUGCAGAAGAAGCACCGGCUAACUACGUG
rnacentral:rRNA from 1 species